UUAUUGGUCAAAGCCGACAGCGGACAGAUUAUAUUCCCUGCUUCUUUAGACCAGAAGUGCUACGCUUGUGACUGGCUUGACGAUAAUUUGCGUCUUGUAAGCGUGUGUGGUCGGAUGUGCUCGAUAAAAUUCAAAACAAAAUUGUGAUACUUAAAUGUCUACUGGCAAUUUAUAGUUACGGCAGUUACAUGAAUUGUUCCUGUGAACACGACCCUAUUCCAGGAAGUGAACAUUGGUGAACGUUAAUUAUUAGCCCAUUUGUCGCUUCCUCGUGUUGCCGGGAAGGAAGACCCACUGGUUGAUUUCGCUCCUGUUUAUAAGUUCCCUGCAGCACAAACCAAAUCGGAGAAGUUGACGCCUGUGAACAUUAAUCGUCAGCCUAUUUGUUGCCGCAAUGGAAGAAUCGCUGGACGCUUCGUUGCCGGUCGACACGGCUAUGGCGAGCUGGAGAGGUCUUCAGCAGCAGCAGCAGCAGCAGCAGUCACCGGCGGCCGCGGACUCGACCACACCCACCCGCAGCGUCACUCCCACCGCGGCCGCUUCACCACGCGCCGCAGCGGUCUGCAGAACUGCCUGCCUCUCGCUGUCCCUCACAUCUCUGUUCACUCUGGGGACCGGCAGGAGCUUUGCGGCGCCCUGCCUGCUGUAUCCCGCCGCUAUGUGGAGGCCGCCCUGCUGCCACUUGUUCUGCGUGUUGACGUCGGCCCCCGACUGCGGCAGAAUUCCGCUGUACAGUGCGGUGGAGUGUAGCCGCGUUCGCGCCGGUUGUUCGCGUCUGUUCCCCUGGCAGAGACCUCGAGGACUUUGGCCGCGUCUCCGUUCCCUGUGCAUUUUGAAUCUGCUUCUCGAUGUCUUGCUCCUUUGCCGUAUUAUUUUCCACGGAAAUGUGUUGCCGCAGUGGAAAAUCUGAAAGUCUUUAUAACCGUGCCAAUUACGCGCUAAAAACCCAGUUGCGUGAGCAGCGUGUAAGACUUGACAACUUGGUCCAGUAUGGGGAAGGAGAUUUUGAGGUUAAACAGAAUUACUUGACAACAUUUGUAGAACUGAAAGUAAUGUCAGAGGGUGGUGUUCCACAUUACAUCUGACUUGGGAAGCACCCUACAAAAUCCCCUGUUCAGGGUUACCUUUGCUAACCCAGAAAACUAAUUUUUGGCAGGCCACGUAUUUGAGGCAUAUCCUGUAAUUUUAAUGUGCGGAAUUUCAAAUUGAACUGUGGCC
rnacentral:lncRNA from 1 species